rnacentral:lncRNA from 1 species
AGAAUCCAUGUAGUUAUAGUUAUAGUUAGUUAUAGUUACAUACUAAGGAUUGUAUUUUUUAGCAGAUAGGAAAUGGCUUUUCUGACUUAAAUAUCUAGGAAGGAAGUAAUGAAAACUGUGGAAGAAAGCAGGGUAUAAAGAAAGGGGAAAAAAAUCUCUUAAGGAAGAGAUGCUCUAGCAGAGUGGAACACACUUGUAAUCCCAGCACUUGAGAUGCAGAAGCAGGAAGAUCAGGAGUUCAAAGCCAACCUUGAUUAUACAAUGACUUUGAAGAUAGUCUAGGUUAUAUGUGACCUUGUCUCAAAAAAGUGAAAAAUCCCAGAUGUGAGAGGUUACUCCUAUAAGUCUAGUACUUGGGAGGUUGGGACACUGGGAUUGCAAGAAGUUCGAAGUUAGCCUGGGGUUCACAGCUAAGUUGAAGCACAUCUAUAACUAAAUAAUAAGACCCUAAUUC